rnacentral:rRNA from 1 species
UGAGCCUUGAUGUGUAGGAUAGGUGGGAGGCUUUGAAGUGUGGACGCCAGUCUGCAUGGAGCCGACCUUGAAAUACCACCCUUUAAUGUUUGAUGUUCUAACGUGGACCCGUAAUCCGGGUUGCGGACAGUGUCUGGUGGGUAGUUUGACUGGGGCGGUCUCCUCCUAAAGAGUAACGGAGGAGCACGAAGGUUGGCUAAUCCUGGUCGGACAUCAGGAGGUUAGUGCAAUGGCAUAAGCCAGCUUGACUGCGAGCGUGACGGCGCGAGCAGGUGCGAAAGCAGGUCAUAGUGAUCCGGUGGUUCUGAAUGGAAGGGCCAUCGCUCAACGGAUAAAAGGUACUCCGGGGAUAACAGGCUGAUACCGCCCAAGAGUUCAUAUCGACGGCGGUGUUUGGCACCUCGAUGUCGGCUCAUCACAUCCUGGGGCUGAAGUAGGUCCCAAGGGUAUGGCUGUUCGCCAUUUAAAGUGGUACGCGAGCUGGGUUUAGAACGUCGUGAGACAGUUCGGUCCCUAUCUGCCGUGGGCGCUGGAGAACUGAGGGGGGCUGCUCCUAGUACGAGAGGACCGGAGUGGACGCAUCACUGGUGUUCGGGUUGUCAUGCCAAUGGCACUGCCCGGUAGCUAAAUGCGGAAGAGAUAAGUGCUGAAAGCAUCUAAGCACGAAACUUGCCCCGAGAUGAGUUCUCCCUGACUCCUUGAGAGUCCUGAAGGAACGUUGAAGACGACGACGUUGAUAGGCCGGGUGUGUAAGCGCAGCGAUGCGUUGAGCUAACCGGUACUAAUGAACCGUGAGG